GAUGCUUCAGAGUAUUCAAAGACGGUGAAAAGAUGUAUGAACUUCUUGAUAGAUCCGUGGAGCGCAUUGGAGAGGCUAAUGUGAUUCAAGAAGUCACAGAUAUUGCUAGCAAUUGUGUGCUUGUAGGUAAUUAAGAGUUAAUUUUUAUUAUAAAAAUUAAAUUACAUUAAAGUAAAGCAUGUAUGUAAUAUUUAUGCUGUACUUAUUUUGAUUUUACGAAAGUUGUUAGAAGUUAAGCACCCGCAUUUGUAUUGGACUCCAAGUGCUACUCAUUGCAUGGAUUUGAUGCUAGAAGACAUUGGG
rnacentral:misc_RNA from 1 species